rnacentral:rRNA from 1 species
UACGUAGGUGGCAAGCGUUGUCCGGAUUUACUGGGCGUAAAGGGCGUGUAGGCGGUUUGUUUAGUCUAGGGUGAAAGCUCCCGGCUUAACUGGGAGAGGUCCUUGGAUACUGGCAAACUUGAGGGAGGCAGAGGAAAGUGGAAUUCCGAGUGUAGAGGUGAAAUUCGUAGAUAUUCGGAAGAACACCAGUGGCGAAGGCGACUUACUGGACACAUAUUGACGCUGAGGUGCGAAAGCGUGGGGAGCAAACAGG